rnacentral:rRNA from 1 species
CAGUAGCCGCGGGAAUACGUAGGUGGCAAGCGUUGUCCGGAAUUAUUGGGCGUAAAGGGCUCGCAGGCGGUUUCUUAAGUCUGAUGUGAAAGCCCCCGGCUCAACCGGGGAGGGUCAUUGGAAACUGGGAAACUUGAGUGCAGAAGAGGAGAGUGGAAUUCCACGUGUAGCGGUGAGAUGCGUAGAGAUGUGGAGGAACACCAGUGGCGAAGGCGACUCUCUGGUCUGUAACUGACGCUGAGGAGCGAAAGCGUGGGGAGCGAACAGGAUUAGAUACCCCCGUAGUCCCUGUCUCUUAUAC